AACCCUAGAAAAGCAAUGGAAACUAGUAGACUAGAGUAUGGCAGGGGUAGAGGGAAUUUCUAGUGUAGCGGUGAAAUGCGUAGAUAUUAGAAAGAACACCGGUGGCGAAAGCGCUCUACUGGACCAUUACUGACACUCAGAGGCGAAAGCUAGGGUAGCAAAAGGAUUAGAUACCCCUGUAGUCCUAGCCGUAAACGAUGGAUACUAGAUGUUGUGCAUUAUGUACAGUAUCGUAGCUAACGCGUUAAGUAUCCCGCCUGGGGAGUACGCUCGCAAGGGUGAAACUCAAAGGAAUUGACGGGGGCCCGCACAAGCGGUGGAGCAUGUGGUUUAAUUCGAUGCAACGCGAAGAACCUUACCAGGGCUUGACAUACUACGAAUUUUCUUGAAAGAGAAAAGUGCCUUCGGGAAUGUAGAUACAGGUGGUGCAUGGCUGUCGUCAGCUCGUGUCGUGAGAUGUUGGGUUAAGUCCCGCAACGAGCGCAACCCUUAUUUUUAGUUACCAAUUCGUUGGGUUCUCUAGAAAGACUGCCGGUGACAAACCGGAGGAAGGUGAGGAUGACGUCAAGUCAGCAUGCCCCUUAUGUCCUGGGCUACACACGUGCUACAAUGGUUAAGACAAAGAGUUGCGAACUUGUAAAAGUCAGCUAAUCUCGUAAACUUAGCCUAAGUUCAGAUUGUAGGCUGCAACUCGCCUGCAUGAAGUUGGAAUCGCUAGUAAUCGCUGGUCAGCUAUACAGCGGUGAAUCCGUUCCCGGGCCUUGUACACACCGCCCGUCACACCAUGGGAGCUGGUCAUACCCGAAACCGUUAGUUUAACCGCGAGGAGAACGACGUCUAAGGUAGGGCUAGUGACUGGGGUGAAGUCGUAACAAGGUAACC
rnacentral:rRNA from 1 species